GACAGAGGCCUCAAGCGUUAGGCGGAAUCACUGGGCUUAAAGCGUGUGUAGGCGGGUCGUUAAGUACCUUGUGAAAUCCCACGGCUCACCCGUGGAACUGCUGGGUAUACUGGUUGUCUUGAGCCAGCUAGGGGCGAGCGGAACAGACGGUGGAGCGGUGAAAUGCGUAGAUAUCGUCUGGAACGCCGAAGGUGAAAACAGCUCGCUGGGGCUGCGCUGACGCUGAGACACGAAAGCCAGGGGAGCGAACGGG
rnacentral:rRNA from 1 species